rnacentral:lncRNA from 1 species
AGAGAAUCUCAGAACGCUAAAGGAAUGCGUACUGUCAUCUCCUUCAGACCUCUCAGUUCUCUUGUGCAAUUAUUAGCAUGAACUCUGUGCAUGAAAGCAACAUCAGGAGUCUGCCUGGGUCCGAGAGGAGUUCAGCCUUACUACAGCCUCAGAUGAGAACAGGAGUGGGACCAGCUCUGAGUUAGAUGAAACCCAGAAGACUUCAGAGAAAGUCCUCUAUCACUUCCAGCCCAGCCCAGUAAGGGAAACUGGGACUCUUCCUCCUUUUGUUCUACUCAAGUUGCUGCUUCCAAGGCUCUGUGACCGACAAGGGAUGGACUGGACUAUUAAUCUAAAAUGUUUAAUUUUUAAAGUCAUUUGUCAUAGAGAGUCACAACCCCGAGCAAUGAAAAUAUUUUUUAAUUCAUAGGACACCUGCUGGGAGAAGUGUGCUCCUGUUACUCAGAAUUCUGCAAGUGAAAGUAAAAUGUGUUGGGGAUAGUUCCUCCCUAAUCUCCAUUGGGAAGUUUGCAUCUGGAUCCCAGUUGUAUACAGUUUUUGUUAAUUUAUGCUUGUGUGAACAGCUG